rnacentral:lncRNA from 1 species
UGUGAACUUGGUUAAAAGUAUAGAAAUUUGACUUUUCAAAAUACUAAUAAUCCUUGUAUUUUGAAAUUGAUGGAGUAUCUAGUUUGGCCGGUAAGGGAGACGGUGAAGUUUUUUUAUGUUUAUUUUUAAUCUAGUUAUUUGGUGUGCCAUUCGUCGUAUGAUUAUGUAUUAUCUGUUAAUCAAUCCAUAUUUAUAUGGGGAUAAUUUUUUAUCGUUGGUUGCAUGUACUUUAUUUGGCUAUAAAAUCAUAUGGUGACUCUUUUUUUGUGGUGACACGAGGGGUUAGUAUACUUUUAUAGUUCGGUUGCUGUCGAUUGAUUUGAAAAAUCGUUGGCUCCAUCAAAAUUGUGAUUCAAAUCUAAAAUUGAAUACCUCAAUCGAAUGAAAGAGUUUAAAAUUAGAAAACAUGAAGACUUAAAAUAAAUUAAUAAGAAAGCUCUUUGAGAAAUUGUUAAUCCGCUCAAAAUUGGGUGAUCAAGUUCUAAAUUAAAGCCUCAGUUAAUUAUGAAGAUUAAAUUUUUUAGGAAGCAUGAUGUAUUGUAUAAAAAAAGAAAUGAAAAAGAUUGUUGAUCCGGUCAAAAUUG